GAUGAACGCUGGCGGCGUGCUUAACACAUGCAAGUCGAACGAUGAAGCCCAGCUUGCUGGGUGGAUUAGUGGCGAACGGGUGAGUAACACGUGAGUAACCUGCCCUUAACUCUGGGAUAAGCCUGGGAAACUGGGUCUAAUACCGGAUAGGAGCGUCCACCGCAUGGUGGGUGUUGGAAAGAUUUAUCGGUUUUGGAUGGACUCGCGGCCUAUCAGCUUGUUGGUGAGGUAAUGGCUCACCAAGGCGACGACGGGUAGCCGGCCUGGGAGGGUGACCGGCCACACUGGGACUGAGACACGGCCCAGACUCCUACGGGAGGCAGCAGUGGGGAAUAUUGCACAAUGGGCGCAAGCCUGAUGCAGCGACGCCGCGUGAGGGAUGACGGCCUUCGGGUUGUAAACCUCUUUCAGUAGGGAAGAAGCGAAAGUGACGGUACCUGCAGAAGAAGCACCGGCUAACUACGU
rnacentral:rRNA from 1 species